rnacentral:lncRNA from 1 species
GCAUCCAAGAGCUCCCUUGGGAUGGAAGGCGAGCAGGAAGGGAGAGCUGUGUGCCUUCACCCACGAACGGUAUUUCUGGAUUAGAGACAGGACUGGAAUGAACAUAAUUAAAGA